GUCUGUCCUGCUCACUGAUUUAUUUAAAGAGCCGCGGUAUUAUGACCGUGCAAAGGUAGCAUAAUCAUUAGUCUUUUAAUUUGAGGCUGGAAUGAAUGGUUUGACGAGAAAUUAACUGUCUCUUAAUAAAUUCUAGAAUUUAACAUUUGAGUGAAAAGGCUUAAAUGUUUCUUUAGGACGAGAAGACCCUAUAGAGCUUAACAUUAAUUAAUUUAUAUUUUUUUUUGGUUUGUCUUUUGGUAUAAUUUAAUAAUGUUUGGUUGGGGUGACUUGAAGAAUAGAUAAACUCUUCAUUAUUAAAUCAUUAAUUUAUGUUUAUUUGAUCCGUAAUUUAUGAUUAAAAGAUUAAGUUACCUUAGGGAUAACAGCGUAAUUGUUUUUGAGAGCUCAUAUCGAUAAAAUAGAUUGCGACCUCGAUGUUGGAUUAAGAUUAAUUAUAGGUGUAGUUGCUUAUAAAUUAGGUCUGUUCGACCUUUAAAUUCUU
rnacentral:rRNA from 1 species